AUAUGUGACCAAAUGUUUAACUCUUAUCACCAAUGGCGACCAUGAUUCGUGCCUGUUGGUCACCAACUCGUCAGUCAUAUUUCAUGAAAGAUCGCGCUCCAGUUUUCUUCUACAUGCAGCGAGCAAUGUGUCUCUAUGCACAUAGUUCUUUCUCCAUCUUACUUAAUGUACACAGCGUGAGCCCAGGUUAACUACAACAUACCUUACAUGCAGGUACCCAUACACGCACAUACAUGUACAGGUACUACAUGUACCUGUAGGUACCUGAGUCGACUGGUUUGUGGUCACACGCUGUAUAGAGUGUGUAUGGGGAGCUGACACGUUUCACAUGUUCUUAAUGCAUUUGCAGUCUAUGCAUGCCACAAUUCCAGCCCAACAAACUUGUUUCAGUCCGAAAUGUAUUUGAACUUCAAAACCAAAGCUUCCCUUGGUCCAGUCCAGUCCCAGGCUGCCAUAGCCAUGCUAGCUUCCAACCCUUCAGAGGAUGCAGACAAUCUAGAAUUUUUUGGUCAGUGUCCGUGGAGGCUGGGUCACCAGAGCAUUGACCCACCGGAUCCUCAGAUGGAGAGAGAAGGCUUUCUUGCCCUGCCGUAAUCUGGAGUCACAGGUGGAUCACUUGGCAGCAAGAUAUUGAAAGUUUGGAUGUGUGUAAAAUCAAUUUGCCAGAACCUGAGCCAGGCUGUUCACCAGAUGCCAUGGAGCAAACACGCCAAUGCUGGAAGACAAUGUCUAGUUGCAGAGCACCCCUAAGGCGUUCCGAGUGAAAAACCUGGUGCCCCUUGUCGAACGCAAGUCUCGUUUUACUAGCCUUUGUUUCGCUGCUGAUUAGCCAGUCAUUUUUCUGAGGUACAUCUUAAUAUUUUGAAUACAACUCUUAAAGCUGUGAAACUAACCCAUUAACUUAUUUCUGACCCCAUAGGUUAUAUGCCAAACUAUAUUAAAAUCAGAAAUUCAAAACCCAGAUACUGGGGUACCUGCCGGUCAAUAUCAAAACCUGGUUCCAUUUUUUUCAGCCUGGGUACCUGUUGAAAAAUGAUAGAAAUCUUUGUAUAGAAUGUAUGUGAACUUUCAUUGUGAAGGGCAGAAUUGCUGAAAAAUCACCAUACCACUGAAAAACCCUGUCCCGCUGUCAUAACUGUGGUUCAGAGAUCACACACCCCACUCAUUGUAAAGCAAACAAAUUUCAUAUUCUGAGGUGGCCUCAUCGUCGAUGUACAUAAAAAGAGCCCUGUUUCGGGCACAUGGUCUGCCGAGAUUGCAUGCAAUGGCAUUUGUUUUUUUGGGUUUUUUUUUCAUAUUUAAGGGCACCCAGUGUUCUCAUCAAACGGGUACCAAGUUCCCAAAAUACCUUUGUCAUACCCCUGUUGUCAUGUACAAGUAGGUGGUAUUGAAAAAAUGGACAUUUGGAGAGUGGUGACCUUGUGGAUGAACAUUAUUUGCAUCGACCAUAACCAGUUAACACCCAUUGUGGUUUUUAUCCAACAAAGACCCACAUCAAGUCUGCCAAAUUCCAUCACACCAUGGUUGCUGGUCUCACUUUGCUUACUGUUCAGAGCAAAAAGCUACACUCUUGUCAAAACUGGUCUUCCACAGUAUGUACAUGUACAUAGCAGUUUAGUUUUAACACCGUCAUCAUUUUUCUAUCUGCUUUGUGCCCAGGCCCUCUUGCCAGUUCUCCAUUCAAUUCUCCAAACUGGCCAUGUAGUUGAGUAACCAGGCUUACAAUGCCUAAUGCAUCAUCACUGAUGGACAACCUCUGACCCAUGUCGAGGGCUUGGCCCCAGCAAUUGAUUCAGAGUCCCACGGCAAUGUUUAUCCCAUGCUAGGCAAAGUUAAAAUGCAUGUUCAAGCUUGCUGUCGAAUGCUGGAGGUAAUGUAAGAUUUAAAAGAAUAUAGUAUAUGUAGAACCUAAUUUCAAAGUUAAGGUUCUGAUUUCAUGUUCAGAUUAACACAUGGGAAAAAUACCAAAAGUACAUGUAUGUCAUGGAUUAAAUGUUGUAAAUCAUGAAUGAGACUUAAAGAUUUGUUUUUGUAGAGAGUCUACCGCAGCUGGCACAUUUUGCCAAAGAAUCUUGUAUAUUGCCACCAUUUUCACAAAGUUGACAUGUUAAUUACUACAAGCUACACUUUUUGAGAUAAUUGUAAGAGAAGUUUCUCUCAUUUGAAAACUGUAAAAAGUAAUGCUUUUUAACAACUGUCUGUAGUCAAAAAUGAUUUUGCAUAUUUUAGGGGCAUUUUGCAUAUAUACGGAUUGACACAAGAGGAUGACUUGGGACAAAGUUGUACUGUAGUUGAUGCAGUUUAUUCGGCUUGCUCGAUGUGUGGCUCUCUGCCUGAUUGCUAGGGAUUUUAUACAUUUGCUGGACAUUCCAUUUUUCAUCCAUCAUACAAGUUUCCUUGCCUUAUUAGGUAUUGGCUACU